UAUUGCCAAAAAGAUGAGCUCGCGUCUGAUUAGCUAGUAGGUGAGGUAAUGGCUCACCUAGGCGACGAUCAGUAACUGGUCUGAGAGGAUGACCAGUCACACUGGGACUGAGACACGGCCCAGACUCCUACGGGAGGCAGCAGUGGGGAAUUUUCCGCAAUGGGCGAAAGCCUGACGGAGCAAUACCGCGUGAGGGAGGAAGGCUUUUGGGUUGUAAACCUCUUUUAUUAGGGAAGAAGAUCUGACGGUACCUAAUGAAUCAGCAUCGGCUAACUUCGUGCCAGCAGCCGCGGUAAUACGAGGGAUGCAAGCGUUAUCCGGAAUUAUUGGGCGUAAAGCGUCCGCAGGUGGUUUUACAAGUCUGCUGUCAAAGCGUGGAGCUUAACUCCAUAACGGCGGUGGAAACUGUAAGACUAGAGGUCAGUAGGGGUCACGGGAAUUCCCAGUGUAGCGGUGAAAUGCGUAGAUAUUGGGAAGAACACCAGCGGCGAAAGCGCGUGACUGGGCUGAUCUGACACUCUGACGAUGCUAUC
rnacentral:rRNA from 4 species